rnacentral:rRNA from 1 species
AGAGUUUGAUCCUGGCUCAGAUUGAACGCUGGCGGCAGGCUUAACACAUGCAAGUCGAGCGGAAACGAUACCAGCUUGCUGGUAGGCGUCGAGCGGCGGACGGGUGAGUAAUACUUAGGAAUCUACCUAGUAGUGGGGGAUAGCUCGGGGAAACUCGAAUUAAUACCGCAUACGACCUACGGGAGAAAGGGGGCAGUUUACUGCUCUCGCUAUUAGAUGAGCCUAAGUCGGAUUAGCUAGAUGGUGGGGUAAAGGCCUACCAUGGCGACGAUCUGUAGCUGGUCUGAGAGGAUGAUCGGCCACACCGGGACUGAGACACGGCCCGGACUCCUACGGGAGGCAGCAGUGGGGAAUAUUGGACAAUGGGGGAAACCCUGAUCCAGCCAUGCCGCGUGUGUGAAGAAGGCCUUUUGGUUGUAAAGCACUUUAAGCAGUGAAGAAGACUCCUCGGUUAAUACCCGUGGACGAUGACAUUAGCUGCAGAAUAAGCACCGGCUAACUCUGUGCCAGCAGCCGCGGUAAUACAGAGGGCGCAAGCGUUAAUCGGAAUUACUGGGCGUAAAGCGAGCGUAGGUGGCUUGAUAAGUCAGAUGUGAAAUCCCCGGGCUUAACCUGGGAACUGCAUCUGAAACUGUUAGGCUAGAGUAGGUGAGAGGAAGGUAGAAUUCCAGGUGUAGCGGUGAAAUGCGUAGAGAUCUGGAGGAAUACCGAUGGCGAAGGCAGCCUUCUGGCAUCAUACUGACACUGAGGCUCGAAAGCGUGGGUAGCAAACAGGAUUAGAUACCCUGGUAGUCCACGCCGUAAACGAUGUCUACUAGUCGUUGGGUCCCUUGAGGACUUAGUGACGCAGCUAACGCAAUAAGUAGACCGCCUGGGGAGUACGGCCGCAAGGUUAAAACUCAAAUGAAUUGACGGGGGCCCGCACAAGCGGUGGAGCAUGUGGUUUAAUUCGAUGCAACGCGAAGAACCUUACCUGGUCUUGACAUAUCUAGAAUCCUGCAGAGAUGCGGGAGUGCCUUCGGGAAUUAGAAUACAGGUGCUGCACGGCUGUCGUCAGCUCGUGUCGUGAGAUGUUGGGUUAAGUCCCGCAACGAGCGCAACCCUUGUCCUUAGUUACCAGCGGGUUAAGCCGGGAACUCUAAGGAUACUGCCAGUGACAAACUGGAGGAAGGCGGGGACGACGUCAAGUCAUCAUGGCCCUUACGACCAGGGCUACACACGUGCUACAAUGGUAGGUACAGAGGGCAGCUACACAGCGAUGUGAUGCGAAUCUCAAAAAGCCUAUCGUAGUCCAGAUUGGAGUCUGCAACUCGACUCCAUGAAGUAGGAAUCGCUAGUAAUCGCGGAUCAGAAUGCCGCGGUGAAUACGUUCCCGGGCCUUGUACACACCGCCCGUCA